UCUCCCUGGAAAAAGGGUGGUAAUGCCGGAUGUUCCACAUGAUCGCAUGUGAUUGUGGGAAAGAUUCUAUCGGCGUGGGAUGGGGUCGCGUCCUAUCAGCUUGUUGGUGAGGUAACGGCUCACCAAGGCUUCGACGGGUAGCCGGCCUGAGAGGGCGACCGGCCACAUUGGGACUGAGAUACGGCCCAGACUCCUACGGGAGGCAGCAGUGGGGAAUAUUGCACAAUGGGCGCAAGCCUGAUGCAGCGACGCCGCGUGAGGGAUGGAGGCCUUCGGGUUGUAAACCUCUUUUGUUUGGGAGCAAGCCUUCGGGUGAGUGUACCUUUCGAAUAAGCGCCGGCUAACUACGUGCCAGCAGCCGCGGUAAUACGUAGGGCGCAAGCGUUAUCCGGAUUUAUUGGGCGUAAAGGGCUCGUAGGCGGCUCGUCGCGUCCGGUGUGAAAGUCCAUCGCUUAACGGUGGAUCUGCGCCGGGUACGGGCGGGCUGGAGUGCGGUAGGGGAGACUGGAAUUCCCGGUGUAACGGUGGAAUGUGUAGAUAUCGGAAAAAAAACA
rnacentral:rRNA from 1 species